rnacentral:tRNA from 2 species
GCCGCCGUAGCUCAGCCCGGUUAGAGCGGCGGGCUGUUAACCCGUAGGUCCCGGGUUCAAAUCCCGGCGGCGGCG